CCUACGGGGGGCUGCAGUGGGGAAUAUUGGACAAUGGGGGGAACCCUGAUCCAGCCAUGCCGCGUGUGUGAAGAAGGCCCUCGGGUUGUAAAGCACUUUCAGUGAGGAAGAACGCCUGGUGGUUAAUACCCAUCAGGAAAGACAUCACUCACAGAAGAAGCACCGGCUAACUCCGUGCCAGCAGCCGCGGUAAUACGGAGGGUGCGAGCGUUAAUCGGAAUUACUGGGCGUAAAGCGCGCGUAGGUGGCUUGAUAAGCCGGUUGUGAAAGCCCCGGGCUCAACCUGGGAACGGCAUCCGGAACUGUCAAGCUAGAGCGCAGGAGAGGAAGGUAGAAUUCCCGGUGUAGCGGUGAAAUGCGUAGAGAUCGGGAGGAAUACCAGUGGCGAAGGCGGCCUUCUGGACUGACACUGACACUGAGGUGCGAAAGCGUGGGUAGCAAACAGGAUUAGAUACCCUAGUAGUC
rnacentral:rRNA from 1 species